rnacentral:siRNA from 1 species
GUUGAUGAUUAGCAAGGACUG